UGAAACCUGGUGGCUCAACCAUACAGACUAUUAUUCAAACUGUUAAACUCGAGAGUGGUAGAGGUAACUGGAAUUUCUAGUGUAGGAGUGAAAUCCGUAGAUAUUAGAAGGAACACCAAUGGCGUAGGCAGGUUACUGGACCAUUUCUGACGCUAAGGCACGAAAGCGUGGGGAGCGAACUGGAUUAGAUACCCAGGUAGUCCACGCCGUAAACGAUGGAUACUAGCUGUUGGAGGUAUCGACCCCUUCAGUAGCGAAGCUAACGCGUUAAGUAUCCCGCCUGUGGAGUACGGCCGCAAGGCUAAAACAUAAAGGAAUUGACGGGGACCCGCACAAGCGGUGGAUCAUGUUCUUUAAUUCGAUGAUAAACGAAGAACCUUACCAGGGUUUGACAUCCCGAGAAGAUUUACGAAAGUAAAUUGUGCCUUUUGGAACUCGGUGACAGAUGAUGCAUGGCCGUCGUCAGCUCGUGUCGUGAGAUGUUUGGUUAAGUCCAUCAACGAGCGCAACCCUUGUGAAUAGUUGAAUUUUUCUAUUCAGACUGCCCCGGCAACGGGGAGGAAGGAGGGGAUGAUGUCAGGUCAGUAUUUCUCUUACAUCCUGGGCUAGAAACGUGAUACAAUGGCAAGUACAAUGCGCAGCGAAGCCGCGAGGUGAAGCAAAUCGCACCAAAGCUUGUCCCAGUUCGGAUUGGAGGCUGAAACUCGCCUCCAUGAAGUCGGAAUCGCUAGUAAUCGCAGGUCAGCAAACUGCGGUGAAUACGUUCCCGGGUCUUGUACACACCGCCCGUCAAGCCAUGAAAGUGACCAACACCCGAAGUCCGAUUCGUCGGCCUAAGGUGGGGGGCAUGAUUGGGGUUAAGUCGUAACAAGGUAUCCGUACCGGAAGGUGCGGAUG
rnacentral:rRNA from 1 species